UUGACAAGCUUUGUGUCAUCUCAAUUUGCCUUCGACUGCUAAGGUCUUUUCGUCUACUUCCAAUCAAUUGUAGUCAAGAGUACUUCUAAUCCGGUCAUCGCUUUUAAGAUUAUCAUUAUUCACACAAGGGUGCAUCGAGGCCCUUCAGCAGAUGCUCGUGUGUAACCUUUACAUGACCAAUCCUCAGCCUGUGUGUUUUGACCAUAUCUGCUCUGGACAUAUGUUUAAUGUAAAACAUUCCCCUUACUUGCCGUUUUACUGUGGUAUGUAAAUGCGUCCGUUUUUUCCAUCACGUCAACGUCUACUUGUGGAUGUUCAGAAGCUUCUCGUGCUGUUCGAACGUAAAGAAAUCCCACUUGAUACAUUUCAACAGAAAUUUACAAAUAUAUGUAGUGAGUAUGGAGAAUACGACAUCAUAUUUACCGAUGCGUCUAAAUCUGGAAAUGGAGUAGGAUGUGCGAUCGCCUCGCAGAUAACAAAUAAAUGGACUUUAAACCCCCAGUCGACUAUAGGAUUUGCAGAAAGAUAUGCCAUCUGGAAAGCUCUUCAGCACUGUUCCUCGUUGUCUGAAACUCAAAGAUUUAUUAUUGCAAGCGAUAACAUAAAUGCAUUAACAGACUUAACACAAAUUUAUUCCAAUAAUGCUUUAACUAAACUGGCCCAAUCAGAACUAUUACACCUAAACAACAAAAAUGUAUCCAUCAUAUCUAUUUGGGUGCCAGGACACGCAGGUAUACCAGGCAACGAGCUUGCAGACAGAACGGAGAAAAUUGUUAUCGGGUCUGAAACAGUCCCGAUAAAGUUGAAAAACCGAAUUAAAAUCAUGGAUAUUUUGGUAGUCCCUAGCAUGAAUCACAAUAUAAUUUUAGGCGCCGAUUUUUUUAGGCUCAUGGAGAUAGUGCCCACUUUGAGCGUGUGGAAAUUUGCUGUCGACGGAGUGAACAUUUCAAAAUCCAAUUUACUAC